GCGUAACCGUAAAAAUUGAUAAUCUAUUACAUAAUAUCCGCCCGGGCACUACAAGCACCAGCUUAAAACCCAAAGGACUUGGCGGUGCUUCAAACCCACCUAGAGGAGCCUGUUCUAGAACCGAUAACCCCCGUUAAACCUCACCCUCCCUUGUUUCAACCGCCUAUAUACCGCCGUCGUCAGCUUACCCUGUGAAGGAUCGAUAGUAAGCAAAGUUAGUAUAACUCAAAACGUCAGGUCGAGGUGUAGUAAAUGAGAGGGAAAGAAAUGGGCUACAUUCGUCUAUCGACGAACAACGAAAGAUUCAUUGAAAUAUAAAUCCGAAGGAGGAUUUAGCAGUAAGGAGAAAAUAGAGAGUUCUUCUGAAACUGGCCCUGAAGCGCG
rnacentral:rRNA from 1 species